UGGGGAAUAUUGGACAAUGGGGGGAAACCCUGAUCCAGCGACGCCGCGUGAGUGAAGAAGUAUUUCGGUAUGUAAAGCUCUAUCAGCAGGGAAGAAAAAUAGACGGUACCUGACUAAGAAGCCCCGGCUAACUACGUGCCAGCAGCCGCGGUAAUACGUAGGGGGCAAGCGUUAUCCGGAUUUACUGGGUGUAAAGGGAGCGUAGACGGUAAUGCAAGUCUGAAGUGAAAUGCGGGGGCUCAACCCCUGAACUGCUUUGGAAACUGUAUAACUGGAGUGCAGGAGAGGUAAGUGGAAUUCCUAGUGUAGCGGCGAAAUGCGUAGAUAUUAGGAGGAACACCAGUGGCGAAGGCGGCUUACUGGACUGUAACUGACGUUGAGGCUCGAAAGCGUGGGGAGCAAACAGGAUUAGAUACCCUGGUAGU
rnacentral:rRNA from 1 species